GAUGAACGCUGGCGGCGUGCCUAAUACAUGCGAGUCGAGCGAACGGACGAGAAGCUUGCUUCUCUGAUGUUAGCGGCGGACGGGUGAGUAACACGUGGAUAACCUACCUAUAAGACUGGGAUAACUUCGGGAAACCGGAGCUAAUACCGGAUAAUAUUUUGAACCGCAUGGUUCAAAAGUGAAAGACGGUCUUGCUGUCACUUAUAGAUGGAUCCGCGCUGCAUUAGCUAGUUGGUAGGGUAACGGCUUACCAAGGCAACGAUGCAUAGCCGACCUGAGAGGGUGAUCGGCCACACUGGAACUGAGACACGGUCCAGACUCCUACGGGAGGCAGCAGUAGGGAAUCUUCCGCAAUGGGCGAAAGCCUGACGGAGCAACGCCGCGUGAGUGAUGAAGGUCUUCGGAUCGUAAAACUCUGUUAUUAGGGAAGAACAUAUGUGUAAGUAACUGUGCACAUCUUGACGGUACCUAAUCAGAAAGCCACGGCUAACUACGUG
rnacentral:rRNA from 1 species